rnacentral:rRNA from 1 species
GCUAUACAUGCAGUCGAGCGAACAGAUAAGGAGCUUGCUCCUUUGACGUUAGCGGCGGACGGGUGAGUAACACGUGGGUAACCUACCUAUAAGACUGGGAUAACUUCGGGAAACCGGAGCUAAUACCGGAUAAUAUUUCGAACCGCAUGGUUCGAUAGUGAAAGAUGGUUUUGCUAUCACUUAUAGAUGGACCCGCGCCGUAUUAGCUAGUUGGUAAGGUAACGGCUUACCAAGGCGACGAUACGUAGCCGACCUGAGAGGGUGAUCGGCCACACUGGAACUGAGACACGGUCCAGACUCCUACGGGAGGCAGCAGUAGGGAAUCUUCCGCAAUGGGCGAAAGCCUGACGGAGCAACGCCGCGUGAGUGAUGAAGGUCUUCGGAUCGUAAAACUCUGUUAUUAGGGAAGAACAUACGUGUAAGUAACUGUGCACGUCUUGACGGUACCUAAUCAGAAAGCCACGGCUAACUACGUGCCAGCAGCCGCGGUAAUACGUAGGUGGCAAGCGUUAUCCGGAAUUAUUGGGCGUAAAGCGCGCGUAGGCGGUUUUUUAAGUCUGAUGUGAAAGCCCACGGCUCAACCGUGGAGGGUCAUUGGAAACUGGAAAACUUGAGUGCAGAAGAGGAAAGUGGAAUUCCAUGUGUAGCGGUGAAAUGCGCAGAGAUAUGGAGGAACACCAGUGGCGAAGGCGACUUUCUGGUCUGUAACUGACGCUGAUGUGCGAAAGCGUGGGGAUCAAACAGGAUUAGAUACCCUGGUAGUCCACGCCGUAAACGAUGAGUGCUAAGUGUUAGGGGGUUUCCGCCCCUUAGUGCUGCAGCUAACGCAUUAAGCACUCCGCCUGGGGAGUACGACCGCAAGGUUGAAACUCAAAGGAAUUGACGGGGACCCGCACAAGCGGUGGAGCAUGUGGUUUAAUUCGAAGCAACGCGAAGAACCUUACCAAAUCUUGACAUCCUUUGACAACUCUAGAGAUAGAGCUUUCCCCUUCGGGGGACAAAGUGACAGGUGGUGCAUGGUUGUCGUCAGCUCGUGUCGUGAGAUGUUGGGUUAAGUCCCGCAACGAGCGCAACCCUUAAGCUUAGUUGCCAUCAUUAAGUUGGGCACUCUAAGUUGACUGCCGGUGACAAACCGGAGGAAGGUGGGGAUGACGUCAAAUCAUCAUGCCCCUUAUGAUUUGGGCUACACACGUGCUACAAUGGACAAUACAAAGGGCAGCGAAACCGCGAGGUCAAGCAAAUCCCAUAAAGUUGUUCUCAGUUCGGAUUGUAGUCUGCAACUCGACUACAUGAAGCUGGAAUCGCUAGUAAUCGUAGAUCAGCAUGCUACGGUGAAUACGUUCCCGGGUCUUGUACACACCGCCCGUCACACCACGAGAGUUUGUAACACCCGAAGCCGGUGGAGUAACCAUUUGGAGCUAGCCGUCGAAGGGG